rnacentral:rRNA from 1 species
GCAAUUCAAUUUAAUUUGAUAAUUUUAUUCUUACUUAAUUAAUUUAUUUUUAUUUGAGAAAUAUCUUUUUUUUUAGUAAAUUAAUGAAUAAAUAAUUUUUGUUAUAGUGUAUUAGUACUGUGGAGGAAAUAUGAUGAAAUAUUUUAAAUUUAAUUUUAUAUAAGUAUGUUUAAUUUACAGUACCUUUUGUAUCAGGGUUAAUCUAUUAUAAAAAUUUAUAUUUAUAUCUCGAUUUUAUUAGAGCUAACUUAUUAUUUUAGUUAAUGUAUCAUAAUUAUUAAUAAUAUAUUUUAGUGGAGAAAUUUUAUUCGAUAAUAAAGGUAUCUAGUUUUUUAAGAAUUAAAUUUAAUUUAUUCUCAAUUAUUAUUUAUUUUAUUUUGUAAUAUAAUAUAGGUUGAGGAAAAAAUUAUAGGGGAUAAGCUCUAUAUUUAUUUAUAAACUUUUUAUUAAUAAAUUUUUGUAGGUUUAAGAUUAUCCAUCAUUGAUGAGUUUGUUAUAAAUCAUAUUUAUUAUUAAUUAAUUUUUUGUUGUUUUAAUUUCAUAUUAAAAUUUCAUUAUUAACUUAUUAUUUUGAGUAAUAAUGAUUAAAUUAGUAUAAGUCUUUGUUUAUAAUAAUUUUAUUAUUAUAAUAAAAUAAGGAACUCGGCAAAUAUAAUUCUCGCCUGUUUAACAAAAACAUGUCCUUUAGAAUUUAAUUAAAGGUCUGACCUGCCCGGUGAUUAAUUUAACGGCCGCGGUAUACUGACCGUGCAAAGGUAGCAUAAUCAUUAGUCUUUUAAUAGAAGGCUGGAAUGAAAGGUUUAACGAGGAAUUGACUGUCUCAUUUUAUUUGUUUUAAAAUUUAAUUUUUUAGUCAAAAAGCUAAAAUUUUAUUGGAAGACGAGAAGACCCUAUAGAUCUUUAUAUAAUUUUAUUUAUUUAUUCUUAUAUCAAUAUAUUUAUUUAAAAUUUUAUUUUGUUGGGGUGAUAAAAAUAUAUAAUAAACUUUUUUAUUUAUUUAACAUUGAUUAAUGAUUAAAUGAUCCAUUAUUAGUGAUUAUUAGAUUAAGUUACCUUAGGGAUAACAGCGUAAUCCCCCUCCAGAGUUCAUAUUUACAGGGUGGGCUUGCGACCUCGAUGUUGGAUUAAGAUAAUAAUUAGGUGCAGCUACUUAAUUUAUAGGUCUGUUCGACCUUUAAAUUCUUACAUGAUCUGAGUUCAGACCGGUUUAAGCCAGGUCGGUUUCUAUCUCCAAUUUUAUAUAAUUUUUAGUACGAAAGGACCAAGAUUAUGAAAUAAUUUUUUUGUUUUGAUUAAUAUUAAUUAUUUUGGCAGAAAAGUGCUGUGAAUUUAGAAUUCAUGAAUGUAGGUUGAGUCCUUCAA